rnacentral:rRNA from 1 species
CAGCCGCCGCGGUAAUACGUAGGUGGCAAGCGUUGUCCGGAAUUAUUGGGCGUAAAGGGCUCGCGGGCGGUUUCUUAAGUCUGAUGCGAAAGCCCCCGGCUCAACCGGGGAGGGUCAUUGGAAACUGGGAAACUUGAGUGCAGAAGAGGAGAGUGGAAUUCCACGUGUAGCGGUGAAAUGCGUAGAGAUGUGGAGGAACACCAGUGGCGAAGGCGACUCUCUGGUCUGUAACUGACGCUGAGGAGCGAAAGCGUGGGGAGCGAACAGGAUUAGAUACCCGCGUAGUCCCUGUCUCUUAUAC